GCUUAACACAUGCAAGUCGAGGGGUAACAUUGUGCUUGCACAGAUGACGACCGGCGCACGGGUGCGUAACGCGUAUAGAAUCUACCUUAUACUAGGGAAUAGCCUUUGGAAACGAAGAUUAAUGCCCUAUAGUAUGAUUACUUGGCAUCAGGUAAUCAUUAAAGGUUACGGUAUAAGAUGACUAUGCGUUCUAUUAGCUAGAUGGUGUGGUAACGGCACACCAUGGCAACGAUAGAUAGGGGCCCUGAGAGGGGGAUCCCCCACACUGGUACUGAGACACGGACCAGACUCCUACGGGAGGCAGCAGUGAGGAAUAUUGGACAAUGGAGGCAACUCUGAUCCAGCCAUGCCGCGUGCAGGAUGACUGCCCUAUGGGUUGUAAACUGCUUUUAUACAGGAAGAAACCUUUUCACGUGUGAGAAGCUGACGGUACUGUAAGAAUAAGGAUCGGCUAACUCCGUGCCAGCAGCCGCGGUAAUACGGAGGAUCCAAGCGUUAUCCGGAAUCAUUGGGUUUAAAGGGUCCGUAGGUGGAUAAUUAAGUCAGGGGUGAAAGUCUGCGGCUCAACCGUAGAAUUGCCUUUGAUACUGGUUAUCUUGAAUUAUUGUGAAGUGGUUAGAAUAUGUAGUGUAGCGGUGAAAUGCAUAGAUAUUACAUAGAAUACCAAUUGCGAAGGCAGAUCACUAACACUAUAUUGGACACUGAUGGACGAAAGCGUGGGGAGCGAACAGGAUUAGAUACCCUGGUAGUCCACGCCGUAAACGAUGGUCACUAGCUGUUCGAACUUCGGUUUGAGUGGCUAA
rnacentral:rRNA from 1 species